UACGGAGGGGGCUAGCGUUGUUCGGAAUUACUGGGCGUAAAGGGCGCGUAGGCGGCCUUCUAAGUCAGACGUGAAAUCCCUCGGCUCAACCGAGGAACUGCGUCUGAUACUGGAAGGCUUGAAUCCGGGAGAGGGAUGUGGAAUUCCAGGUGUAGCGGUGAAAUGCGUAGAUAUCUGGAGGAACACCGGUGGCGAAGGCGGCAUCCUGGACCGGUAUUGACGCUGAGGCGCGAAAGCUAGGGGAGCAAACGGG
rnacentral:rRNA from 1 species